GUGAAUCCUCUGCUCAAGAGUCAUGUGGGGGAAACACCGCUUUGCCAGUGGAAAACUUUUUCAAGUGGAAUUCAGCCAUCCCACGUGCUUCUUACUCAUCGAACACACCUCGUUGUAACCAAACAUUGUUUGAUGACUCUCAACAAUUUGGAAUGCAUGCCCCUCGAGGACAAUCCAGUCUUCUAUCUUCUCUUCAUGGACUACUGAGCUCUGGCUAGCCAUCUUCAACUGCUCAAAUCACUCCAUCUUCAAGAUGGCAAGGACAAUCAAUCCCAUGGCAAUUACAUGGAUAUACACCUUGUUACCAUUCCAUAUCCUCUUCAACCUCCACCUUCAUCUUCUUCAGUUUUUGAUUUUCAAGAUGCCCCACCUACAAGG